AGUCGUAACAAGGUUUCCGAGGAACAGUGAUCCUUCUAAAGAGACACUUAUAGAAGCCUUUGCAGCUCCGUAAGGGGUUUGCCUACCGCGACUGAAAAUAAAGGUUUGGCCAUGCAGGUCGGUACCCUAGGGUACUGGCGACACUUUCGAAUUGCGGGAACAUCCUCUGUUAACCCUACCAAACCAUGCCGGUCAACCGGCUUGGUGGCCUACUGCUAGCGGCAGAGGGGAAGGUAACAACGGAAUUAACGAGGGUAAUCCGCAGCCAACUCCCGCUCGACGGGAAGGGGUUCACAGACUAAGUGGAAGUGGGCAGGAGGUAGUACUCCUGCUUAAGAUAUAGUCGGGGCCUCUAGGAGACUAGAGGUGUGUUCAGUCACUGGAUUUAUGGUACAGAGUUGCCUCGUCCAACAUGAAGUACAGCCGUUCCGUAGGUGAACCUGCGGAAGGAUCAUUAAUGGGUCAACGCCUCCGGGCACAAUCCCCCACCCUUUGUAACCGCGGCCCGGAUUCGGCGCCUGGCGGGGAGCCCCGCCUGCCGGAAUUAGCCAACCCUGCCUAGAAAAUUGAAGUCUGAGAACAAGUUAAAUUAAACAAAACUUUCAACAACGGAUCUCUUGGUUCUGGCAACGAUGAAGAACGCAGCGAAAUGCGAUAAGUAAUGUGAAUUGCAGAAUUCAGUGAAUCAUCGAAUCUUUGAACGCACAUUGCGCCCCCUGGUAUUCCGGGGGGCACNNNGNUCGAGNGCCAUUUCUACCCUGGAGCCCUGCUCUGUGAUGGGCCCCGUCCUCGCGGACGGGCCCGAAACCCGUGGGCGCCGUCGUCCGGCCCUGAGCGUAGCAAGAGAAAUCCCUCGCUCGGAGUGUCCGCACGGUGGCCGCCCCGACCCAUUUUUACAAGGUUGGCCUCGGAUCAGGUGGGGAUACCCGCUGAACUUAAGCAUAUCAAUAAGCGGAGGAAAAGAAACCAACAGGGAUUGCCUCAGUAACGGCGAGUGAAGCGGCAACAGCUCAAAUUUGAAAUCUGGCUCACGCCCGAGUUGUAAUUUGUAGAGGAUGUUUCGGGUGAAGCCGCGGUCCAAGUCCCUUGGAACAGGACGUCAUAGAGGGUGAGAACCCCGUACCUGGCCGCCGGUGCCCCCCGCUGUGAAACUCCUUCGACGAGUCGAGUUGUUUGGGAAUGCAGCUCUAAAUUGGUGGUAAAUUCCAUCUAAAGCUAAAUACCGGCCAGAGACCGAUAGCGCACAAGUAGAGUGAUCGAAAGAUGAAAAGCACUUUGAAAAGAGAGUUAAAAAGUACGUGAAAUUGUUGAAAGGGAAGCGCCUGCGGCCAGACUUGCCCGCGGUUGCUCAGCCCGCCCUUUGGCGGGUGCACUCUUCCGCGGUCAGGCCAGCAUCGGUUUGGGCGGCCGGAUAAAGGCGUUGGGAACGUGGCCUCCCCUCGGGGAGGUGUUAUAGCCCGGCGCGCAAUGCGACCAGCCCGGACCGAGGUUCGCGCUUUGCUAGGAUGCUGGCGUAAUGGCCGUAAGCGGCC
rnacentral:rRNA from 1 species